GGGAGAGAGAGAGAGUAUUUCGAACUAGAGAGAGAGACAUGAGAAUAAUGAGUAACAUAUUUCCUUAAUCCAUUUAAGGUUCUGGAUACAACACUUAAAUAGACAAGUAGAGAUCCUAGGAAAAUACUAAACAAAGAGAAUCCCACAAUAAGAAUAAACAAUGUGACUAGUGUCCAAACUGACUUGUGCAGGCGCACCAGGCUGAAUGUGACAUGUCCCAACGGCUGUCUGUCCUCCCAAGACCUUGGUUCUUCACGUGACUGGCUCCCCAACGUUUCCUUUCCUCAGAUAAGUUAAGGAGAGUGUUUCUAGUUAAUAUUUUGCACAACUCUCCCCUUCCUUUACUUGUAAGUCACGUUGGGGCUCCUAGGUUGUACGGACAGGCUUGAUACACAAGUCAUCUUGAACACUUGUCUAAACCGAAAGC
rnacentral:lncRNA from 1 species